rnacentral:lncRNA from 1 species
GGCGGGGGAGCUCUACCAAAUGGAGGUGGAGGCGGUGGUGGAGGAGCACUAGUAUGAGGCGGUGGAGGGGGGGCUCUACCAAAUGGAGGUGGAGGCGGUGGAGGAGGGGCUCUACCAAAUGGAGGUGGAGGCGGUGGAGGAGAGGCUCUACCAAAUGGAGGUGGAGGUGGUGGAGGGGGGGCUGUACUAAAUGGAGGUGGAGGCGGUGGAGGGGGAGCUCUACCAAAUGGAGGUGAAGGUGGUGGCGGAGGAGCACUACUAUAAGGAGGUGGAGGUGGUGGCGGAGGAGCACUACUAAAAGGGGGUGGAGGUGGCGGCGGCGGAGCACUAUUAUAAGGAGGUGGAGGUGGAGGCGGUGGAAGGGGAGCUUUAUUAAAAGGAGGGGGAGGUGGUGGAGGUGGAGUAGCACUACUAUAAGUAGGUGGAGGCGGUGGUGGAGGUGGUGGAGUAGCACUACUAUAAGGAGGUGGAGGUGGUGGAGUAGCACUACUAUAAGGAGGUGGAGGCGGUGGUGGUGGUGGUGGAGCACUACUAUAAGGAGGAGGAGGUGGUGGUGGUGGUGGUGGAGGUGGAAACUUUGGAACAUUGCUAAAAGGAGGUAGAGGGAGAGAUGGAGCAAGAGGAAGGGGUGUUGAUGGAGCUUUAUGUGAUGCAAUUGGGGGUGGUGGAGGAGGGGGUGGAGCCCUAUGUGUGGAAAAUGUAGGAAGAGGGGGAGGGGGAGGAGGAGGGGGAAUUCCAUGCUUUGGAGGUGUUGAUGAUGGCGGUGGAGGAGGGGCUACCACGGUAACAACUUCAGAAACUUUGGAUAAAUUGUCACUGAUGUAUGAGGGAAGUGGGAGAGAACCACUAGUCUCUUCAACUAUGGCGAUUGAUGAAUAGAGAGACUUCCAAGGAGAUGGAGGGGGAGGAGGAAGAGAAGUUGCAGUUUGUAAAUUCACCCCUACGUUUUGUCCAGUAAAUGAUGUUAAAGUUGGUGGCGGUGGUGGUGGUGGAGGUACAGUAGAUACGUUUCCACCUAAAGAGGAAGAUGGUGAAACUGGUGGCGGUGGAGGGACUUGAGGUGAUGCAUCAUCCUGUA